GAUGAACGCUGGCGGCGUGCCUAAUACAUGCAAGUCGAGCGAACGGACGAGAAGCUUGCUUUUCUGAUGUUAGCGGCGGACGGGUGAGUAACACGUGGAUAACCUACCUAUAAGACUGGGAUAACUUCGGGAAACCGGAGCUAAUACCGGAUAAUAUUUUGAACCGCAUGGUUCAAAAGUGAAAGACGGUCUUGCUGUCACUUAUAGAUGGAUCCGCGCUGCAUUAGCUAGUUGGUAAGGUAACGGCUUACCAAGGCAACGAUGCAUAGCCGACCUGAGAGGGUGAUCGGCCACAGUGGAACUGAGACACGGUCCAGACUCCUACGGGAGGCAGCAGUAGGGAAUCUUCCGCAAUGGGCGAAAGCCUGACGGAGCAACGCCGCGUGAGUGAUGAAGGUCUUCGGAUCGUAAAACUCUGUUAUUAGGGAAGAACAUAUGUGUAAGUAACUGUGCACAUCUUGACGGUACCUAAUCAGAAAGCCACGGCUAACUACGUG
rnacentral:rRNA from 1 species